GGGUUUUCUUUUGACCAGACUCUUAGCCUAGUCAAUUUGUGUCUGAAUAGGCUAGUUUGAGUAUCUAUGGUCAAGUAUUUCUUGACCCUUGAAAUUUUCGGGGGCUAGUAAAAAUGCCAAAAGGCCAAGCCAAGUUCGAUCACACUGUGGUGUAAACCUUCAUCUUAAGGUAAAAACAACAUAUCCUAAUCCACUCAUCAGCCAGUCAUUCCCCCUUCACCUCUGUUUAGUCCAUUUAGUGAGCAGGUUUUUGUUUAGUUUUUGGUAUUGUACUCGUUCAAGCCCGAGUUCUUGAAUUGUUUAUUUCAAUACAGAUUACUUACAUUUAGAAAUGUAAGGAUUAAACAAAACAGCGAUUUAGAAUUGUCUAUUUCAAUACGGAAACAUGGAAUGAUUUGCUAGUAUCACAUCUAGAGAACGUGUAGAUUAACUGGAUACAUGACAUCAUUCUUUAUUGAUUCUUUGGCCACCCUGUUGGCAUCAAUGAGAGGAUCUUGAUUGUCAUCAGUGCUUAUAUGCUUAUGUAGCUAAAUGCCAAGUUACUAGAACCGAAGUAUAUAAUGCUAGUGCGAUUGCAAGUUUCUUGAUCUUGACAAGUACCAAUUUUAAACAAAGACCAAGCCUACCCACCGCAGAUUAUCCGACGGUUAGAAAUGUAGGCCCCGUUUGGCAAAGGGUUAAGGAAGAGGGAUUAUGGAGAAGAUAAUGGAUAGCAAUCCGGAAAAGUUUUAUUUGUUGAAGUCACUUCCUGAUGAUGAAAAAAGAGAUUUUAUUCUCUUUAUUCUUAAGGAGUAGUUUCUAGUUUUCAGUAUAGGAAGGAGCUGAGCGGUUUUCUUGAGACGCCUCUUGGCAGGGGAUUUGCUGUGAGUUCUUAUCCUAUGCAUCAUUUUUAGUACUUGAUUGAUUUUUUAAUGUGAAAAAUCAAAUGAUUGAUUUGUUAAUGUGAAAAAUCAAAUUUCUACACCUUGUCAACUCGUAUAAUAUUAAUAGCUUUAACUAUUUGACUGAUAUAAUUAUCAGGAUUUCCAUAUUAAGGAGGGAGGGGGGGGGGACAUAUAUCAUAUCUGUAAGAGAGCCAAGUAUAAUAUUAAUGCAUGUUGAGUUUCUAGUUUAGGUGUAUUAUUAGUGAAUAGCAAGAGCAGUUCUUUAUUUGGGUGGACUUCCUUGCCUCUUAGUGCGGUUCACCAAUAAGAUGUUUCAGACUGUUAAUUUGAUGAAAUAAUUUGGCAACAGUCUCCUGUACUCUGGCGGCAUGUUGGGUGUUUAGAAAUGUGUGAUUUUAUUUUGUAAAAUUGAAGGUCAAGCAUAAUUUAGGAAGUAAAGUAAACUAGUAAAUAUGAGUAAACUUUAGAAAAUAUAUGUAACGAGCACAAAUCCCUGCAACGAGUAAAUAUGAGUAAACUUUUGAAAAUAUAUGCGAUGUGUAGAAAUCCCUGCAGAUCUGGUGGGUCAAAGUACGGAAUAUAAGCAAAUUUGGCUGAACUAGAAAUACACCUAAACUUCUCUUGUGCAAUCAGGUAAUAUUUUUAUGUGAAACAAAUCAGAUAGGACAAAAUCUGUGUUGAUCUCUUUUAUGUACUACAUCUGCAGAAGGCUCUGUGUUAUCCAAGCAAGUGAAUACUAUUGCAAUACGGGGGUUAAUUUCUGGAUACUGUGUUUGCGUUGUGCACUAUGGUGCUAUUUGGUUUGUGAAAACUCGCAACUGUUACUGAGCGAUUUGCCAGAAAUAUAUAUAUUCCAGUUUAUUUUACUGCAAUUGUGAUUUUUUUCAAAUCAAAUAGCACCACAGUAUAGGAAGGAGCCGAGUGGUUUUUUUUCGCAGGUCAAGCGUGAUAUUGUGCUGAGCGUGUUUGUGCUUUGGUCUCACCUUUUUCGGUUCUCAUUGUCAUUUGAUAUAGCUUGCUGCUUUGUCGAAUGAUUGUAGCUUAUAUGUAAGGGUUAAUUGCAUAUACUCUCUGUGGUAUCGUUUUUAAAUAACAACCCCUGUAGUGUACAUUGUUGCAGAUGUGCCCUUGGGUUAAAAUUGUGACUGUUUUACCCUUGGACUUACUAAUUUCUAGCUGAAGUCAAACAAAAGGAUAUUGGAUUCGGUUUGAUGUUA